rnacentral:misc_RNA from 1 species
AACGCACAUUGCGCCCCUUAGUAUUCUAGUGGGCAUGCCUGUUCGAGCGUCAUUACAACCCUCAAGCGCUGUAGUGCUUGGUGUUGGGGCAUCUGCUGCCUGCAGCAGGCCCUGAAAGAUAGUGGCGAGCUCGCCGUGACCCUGAGCGUAGUAGUUUACACCUCGCUUCUGUGGUUCAUGGUGGGUCUUCAGCCGUGAAAACCCCUUAAUUUUCACAAGGUUGACCUCGGAUCAGGUAGGAAUACCCGCUGAACUUAA